ACUGGCAGGCUAGAGUCUUGUAGAGGGGGGUAGAAUUCCAGGUGUAGCGGUGAAAUGCGUAGAGAUCUGGAGGAAUACCGGUGGCGAAGGCGGCCCCCUGGACAAAGACUGACGCUCAGGUGCGAAAGCGUGGGGAGCAAACAGGAUUAGAUACCCUGGUAGUCCACGCCGUAAACGAUGUCGAUUUGGAGGUUGUGCCCUUGAGGCGUGGCUUCCGGAGCUAACGCGUUAAAUCGACCGCCUGGGGAGUACGGCCGCAAGGUUAAAACUCAAAUGAAUUGACGGGGGCCCGCACAAGCGGUGGAGCAUGUGGUUUAAUUCGAUGCAACGCGAAGAACCUUA
rnacentral:rRNA from 1 species